UGGUUUCCGCCGAUUGAGGUUAUCUACAGUUAGAUAUGACUGGGCAGUGAUCUGGUGUAAGGUGUUAUUUUGCAGAAUUUUUGUUGUUGCAUCUCAGCCUGUAUUGUGUGGCUAACUGGUUUUCACUAGUUCUUUUAACUUUUGAAAGACUGGCAUCAAGAAAUUUUCCUCAAGGUACUGCAAACUCUGAGACAAUGAGUCCAAAAGACAACUGAGUGCCGCGCUACCUGAGAGAUGCCAUGAGAUGUCGUUUGAGCUCCUGAACCAGUAUCAACAUGAAGAGUACAGUCAUUUCAGUUCUGUAGAGACUGAGGGAAGACUCAAGAAACUAAGAAAAUUAAGUCUCUUUUGGAUUUAAAUCUGGAUUUGCCUACAGAUUUCUCAUGAAACAUUCUUCUGUUCCCUACACCCACAUCCUUUUCGGGUGGUUUUUAAUGCUGCCCUUUACUCAGGUAAAUCUUAUCUUCCUAUCCCACAGGCGAACUCUGUGGUCUUUUUCAUGUAUUUUGUCCAGGUGGAAUACUUUCAGAAAUUCCAACUAUCUCUAAAAUUUAAUUUCUUUUUUAAGAUUUUUAUUUUUAAGAGAAUAAAACCAAGCAAAAUAAAAUAAGGCCAAUUAAAAAAAGCACUGUGAUACAGGAUUUCAAAACAAGAUAAUAGGAAAUCAACAAUGAUUACUAUAAUGACUCUUGUCUUCAAAAUAGCUGCCUGUACAUAGUAAAAUCAGACAUAGUACAGAUCAAACAGAACCGAAGAGAACCAAUAAACACAAAACAAUGAAUGUAAUAAAGGACUUCAAAACAAGACAACAAUAAAUCCGAAAUGGCUACCAUAA